AGUUUUGCAAAGUUCGACACACAGACCAGUGAACCUUAAGCGCCCUAGUGCGGACACACAUUGUGGAGGUUUGUCAAGAACUCUCCGCAGCGAUUAUAAUGACAGUAUGGACAAUUCUGAAAGCUCUGGGCAACAGCACACUUAAGGGAAAAUGAGGAGCUUAGUAGAUUGGAGAAAAUUAACCUGCCACAAACAACCUCAUUAAAGAACUGCCUACCAAGAGUUAAGAAUUAAUAGCAAAAUGGAUGGGAAAAAAACCCCUUGAGUGAAGAGACCUUCAACCCCCUUUCCUGAAAGGUUUCUAAUGAAGAGACUGUGUGUGUCACCGCGCCUAAGAGAGAAAAAGAGGGAGGGAAGGAGAGAGCUCUUUAAACAAAAGACAAGGAG
rnacentral:lncRNA from 1 species